GCCGGUGUGGCGGAAUUGGCAGACGCACGGGACUUAAAAUCCCGAGACGAAAGUCGUACGGGUUCGAUCCCCGUCACCGGUACCA
rnacentral:tRNA from 1 species